rnacentral:rRNA from 1 species
ACAUGCCUACAACAUAGCAUUAACGCAUUAAAUCCCAUUAGAACUCUGUAGUUAAGAGCGCUCAAGCUAGAGUAGUACUGGGAUUGGUGAUCGGUUGGGAAGUCUUAGAGUUUUACAUGCC